rnacentral:rRNA from 1 species
UACGUAGGCAGCGAGCGUUGUUCGGAAUUACUGGGCGUAAAGAGUGUGUAGGCGGUGCUCUAAGUUCGGUGUGAAAUCUCCUGGCUCAACGUGGGAGGGUGCGCCGGAAACUGGAGUGCUUGAGCGUGGGAGAGGAAAGCGGAAUUCCUGGAUGUAGCGGUGAAAUGCGGUAGAUAUCAGGAGGAACACCUGUGGUGUAGACGGCUUUCUGGACCAUAGCUGACGCUGAGACACGAAAGCGUGGGUAGCAAACAGG